GAUCAUGGCGUCAGGAUGAACGCUGGCGGCGUGCUUAACACAUGCAAGUCGAACGGAGUAUUAACGCUGCAGAGAUUCGGUCGAAGCUUGUUAAUACUUAGUGGCGGACGGGUGAGUAACGCGUGGGUAACCUGCCGUAUGCAGGGGGACAACAGUUGGAAACGGCUGCUAAUACCGCAUAAGCGCACGGUAUUGCAUGAUACAGUGUGAAAAGAUUUAUCGGCAUACGAUGGACCCGCGUUUGAUUAGCUAGUUGGUGAGGUAACGGCUCACCAAGGCGACGAUCAAUAGCCGGCCUGAGAGGGCAAUCGGCCACAUUGGGACUGAGACACGGCCCAAACUCCUACGGGAGGCAGCAGUGGGGAAUAUUGCACAAUGGGGGAAACCCUGAUGCAAGCGACGCCGCGUGAGUGAAGAAGUAUUUCGGUAUGUAAAGCUCUAUCAGCAGGGAAGAUGAUGACGGUACCUGACUAAGAAGCCCCGGCUAACUACGUGCCAGCCGCCGC
rnacentral:rRNA from 1 species